CCGGAUUAAUACCGCAUACGCUCUAUGGAGGAAAGCGGGGGACCGAAAGGCCUCGCGCUCAAGGAGCGGCCGAUGGCGGAUUAGCUAGUUGGUGGGGUAAAGGCCCACCAAGGCGACGAUCCGUAGCUGGUCUGAGAGGACGACCAGCCACACUGGGACUGAGACACGGCCCAGACUCCUACGGGAGGCAGCAGUGGGGAAUUUUGGACAAUGGGCGAAAGCCUGAUCCAGCAAUGCCGCGUGUGUGAAGAAGGCCUUCGGGUUGUAAAGCACUUUUGUCCGGAAAGAAAACUUCGUCCCUAAUAUGGAUGGAGGAUGACGGUACCGGAAGAAUAAGCACCGGCUAACUACGUGCCAGCAGCCGCGGUAAUACGUAGGGUGCGAGCGUUAAUCGGAAUUACUGGGCGUAAAGCGUGCGCAGGCGGUGAUGUAAGACCGAUGUGAAAUCCCCGGGCUUAACCUGGGAACUGCAUUGGUGACUGCAUUGCUGGAGUAUGGCAGAGGGGGGUGGAAUUCCACGUGUAGCAGUGAAAUGCGUAGAGAUGUGGAGGAACACCGAUGGCGAAGGCAGCCCCCUGGGCCAAUACUGACGCUC
rnacentral:rRNA from 1 species